rnacentral:lncRNA from 1 species
AUGGAACUGUACAAUUCUCUAUUCCUGCUGGUCAAAAGAGUGACCAGCAAAACUACUUUCUUGAACUUCCAGAGGGCGGACUUUGAUCUGUUCAGGGCGCUUGUAGCACAGGUCCCUUGGGAGUCGAUUCUUAAGGGUAAAGGAAUCCAAGAAGCCUGGACGCUCCUCAAGACGGAAAUCUUAAAGGCGCAAGAACAGGCUGUCCCUGAGUGCCGUAAGGCGAGCCGCAGGGGUAGAAGACCGGUGUGGGUGAGCCAGGAACUACUGUUGAGACUCAGGGAGAAAAAGAGAGUUUACGUCCUCUGGAAGAAGGGACAGGCUAGUUGGGGAGAUUACAGGGAAGUAGCUAAGGUAUACAGGAAGGAAGUUAGGAAGGCAAAAGCCCAACUUGAACUCAGAUUGGCCACUCCAGUAAAAGACAAUAAAAAAUCCUUUUAUAAAUAUAUCGAUGGCAAAAGAAGAACCGAGGAUAAUUCUCAUCAUUUACUUGAUGCAGCAGGGAAUGUGGCUACUGAGGACAAGGAGAAGGCUGAGGUCCUCAAUACCUUUUUUACAUCUGCCUUUAAUAGCCAGACCAGUUAUCCUCAUGGCACUUUAGGCCCUGAUCUGGAAAUCUGGGACGCUACUCAGAAUUCACCCCCAGUGAUUCAGGUGGAGACAGUCAGAGAGCUCCUCUAUCUGGACUGUCACAAGUCCAUGGGACCGGAUGGGCUACACCCUUGGGUGCUGAGGGAGCUGGUGGGGGUGAUUGCCACACCACUCAUGGCCAUCUAUCAGCGCUCCUGCUUAACUGGGGAGGUCCCAGAGGAUUGGAGGCUUGCCAACGUUACUCCCAUCUUCAAGAAGGGCCAUAAGGAGGAUCCAGGGAGCUGCAGGCCUGUCAGCCUGACCUCGGUACCGGGGAAAGUAAUGGAGCAAAUCAUCUUGGGUGAGAGCACACAGCAUGUGCAUGGUGUCCAGGGGAUCAGGCCCAGCCAGCAUGGGUUCAUGAAAGGCAGGUCCUAUUUGACCAACCUCAUCCUUCUACGACUGGAUGACCAGACUGGUGGAUGA